AAGCAUUGAUCGAAUACCUACAAUGUGCCAAGCACAGAACAACCAAAUGGCCCAUGGAGUGAACAAGCCCUGAAUACUGGUUUCAUUAGUACCAUGUUCUAUAUUCAACCUACUCAGAUCAGUAGCCUGGGUGGCUGCUACUAGAAAAUCACCCCUAUAUCAGAUACUUGCUGAGGGUCUGAGCUAAGAUUCUGCCUGAGUGCAGGAAAGAACAUGUUCCCAAUCAAGAAAAGUAGAUCCCAUUGCACUUCUGCCGGAGUCAAGAAAGAGAAGCCUGGAAUUCUGGGCAAAGGAAUGACGUUUAAUCUGCUUUAGAAGGAAGUUUAACAACUCCUUAGAAGAACUGGAGAAUUUAGAGACUGAAGACCGGAUCAUUUGGCUGUUGCCAUGGUUUAUAUGAAAAAUAGUUUGCUCUGAUCAGUGUACUCUGAUCGUAUGCUCACUUCCUCCCAAUGAAUUUGAAUGGAAGAACGUGAUGUCCUGACUUGCUUAUACCUGACUUCACGUGCAUCCUUGUGAACCAGCCACUGUAGCCAAGACGGAGGAUGGGGUUAUGCUUACUGAUGAAGGCCUAAAAGGGCCUAUUCUUGCUUUGGAAAUAUGGGCGUCGAUUCUUUUCAAACUUUAGAAGAAAAAAAAGUUAAGUUCUUUUGGGAAAGGAAAGGAGCUGCUGAAGAGACAAAUAACAAUAUUCACCAAACACAGGAACCAUAAAAAAGGAUCAAAGAUGGAAUUCUGGAAAGGCACCAUAUUUAAGGGACAGGCUAAAGAAGUAAUGUCAUUGCAAGAGAAGGAGAGUGUUUGAAGAAGUAAGAGGAAAACC